GAUGAACGCUGGCGGUCUGCUUAACACAUGCAAGUCGAACGGAAGUAGCAAUACUUUAGUGGCGGACGGGUGAGUAACACGUAAGAAUCUGCCAAAAGGUUUGGGAAAACAGUUGGAAACGACUGCUAAUCCCAAAUAAGCCGAAACGUAAAGGGAGAAAUCCGCCUUUUGAUGAGCUUGCGGCUGAUUAGCUAGUUGGUAGGGUAAGAGCCUACCAAGGCAACGAUCAGUAGCUGGUCUGAGAGGAUGAGCAGCCACACUGGGACUGAGACACGGCCCAGACUCCUACGGGAGGCAGCAGUGGGGAAUUUUCCGCAAUGGGCGCAAGCCUGACGGAGCAAGACCGCGUGGGGGAGGAAGGUUCUUGGAUUGUCAACCCCUUUUCUCAGGGAAGAAGCAAGUGACGGUACCUGAGGAAUCAGCAUCGGCUAACUCCGUGCCAGCCGCCGCGGUAAGAC
rnacentral:rRNA from 1 species